UUUCUAAUAGGAAAAGGUGGCACAGUAUUCUAGUCAGGUAAGUAUUUCUUGAAGGCGGGGCUAAAAAUCCGCCAAAGGGCAUAUCGAUGAAGCUUCUGGUGCUGGCUUAUGACGCCCAGUUAUGGGCUGGUGCUGGGAGUAAGAAGGAUGGGGCGGCCGCAAUGGCAUGCGCAACUGACCCUACCUUCAUGGAGACCAUUAAUUGUGUUUUAGGUUAGUCGCCUAUUGUACGAUAAUGGAUUAAACCUGUAUUGUGGUUAAAAGCUAUGUGCAGUGUAGCCUGCCUUGAGUGAUGUAGGGAGAGGUAAUAUCAACUUUAACCUUUGGCCAAAGGUUAAAGCUCUUGGUUACUGAAACCUACAUUGCAAAAGAGGCUAGAGAUAUACCUAACUGUCGAGGAAAUCUCCUAGACUGUUCCAUUUUGUAUGAAGUGAAUUAAGGAUUAUAGUGCGGACUAAGUGGUAAUCCAGUCCUACUUAUUGGUAACAAAGUAGAUAGGGUAUUAAAGGGAAACCGUCAAAAUGGCGACAUUUUGGUUACUCUAUGGGAAAGCCUACUGGACCUAAGCCGUAAGGUUUACUUAAUUUACUGCCACUUUUUUCUGGAAAAUU
rnacentral:sRNA from 16 species